rnacentral:rRNA from 1 species
GACGAACGCUGGCGGCGCGCCUAACACAUGCAAGUCGAACGAGCGAGAGAGAGCUUGCUUUCUCGAGCGAGUGGCGAACGGGUGAGUAACGCGUGAGGAACCUGCCUCAAAGAGGGGGACAACAGUUGGAAACGACUGCUAAUACCGCAUAAGCCCACAGGUCGGCAUCGACCAGAGGGAAAAGGAGCAAUCCGCUUUGAGAUGGCCUCGCGUCCGAUUAGCUAGUUGGUGAGGUAAUGGCCCACCAAGGCAACGAUCGGUAGCCGGGCUGAGAGGUUGAACGGCCACAUUGGGACUGAGACACGGCCCAGACUCCUACGGGAGGCAGCAGUGGGGAAUAUUGCACAAUGGGGGAAACCCUGAUGCAGCGACGCCGCGUGGAGGAAGAAGGUCUUCGGAUUGUAAACUCCUGUUGUUGGGGAAGAUAAUGACGGUACC